rnacentral:rRNA from 1 species
CCUACGGGGGGCUGCAGUGGGGAAUAUUGGACAAUGGGGGGAACCCUGAUCCAGCCAUGCCGCGUGUGUGAAGAAGGCCCUCGGGUUGUAAAGCACUUUCAGUGAGGAAGAACGCCUGGUGGUUAAUACCCAUCAGGAAAGACAUCACUCACAGAAGAAGCACCGGCUAACUCCGUGCCAGCAGCCGCGGUAAUACGGAGGGUGCGAGCGUUAAUCGGAAUUACUGGGCGUAAAGCGCGCGUAGGCGGCUUGAUAAGCCGGUUGUGAAAGCCCCGGGCUCAACCUGGGAACGGCAUCCGGAACUGUCAAGCUAGAGUGCAGGAGAGGAAGGUAGAAUUCCCGGUGUAGCGGUGAAAUGCGUAGAGAUCGGGAGGAAUACCAGUGGCGAAGGCGGCCUUCUGGACUGACACUGACACUGAGGUGCGAAAGCGUGGGUAGCAAACAGGAUUAGAUACCCGAGUAGUC